rnacentral:miRNA from 1 species
UAGAUAUCUAAUAUUUGUUUGUAGUACACAGUGUACUACAAACAAAUAUUAGAUAUCUAAU